GACGAACGCUGGCGGCGUGCUUAACACAUGCAAGUCGAGCGGUAAGGCCCUUUCGGGGGUACGACGAGCGGCGAACGGGUGAGUAACACGUGGGUGACCUGCCUCUAGCUCUGGGAUAAGCCUGGGAAGCUGGGUCUAAUACCGGAUAUGACCUCGCGGUGCAUGUUGCGGGGUGGAAAGCCUUGUGCGGCUAGGGAUGGGCCCGCGGCCUAUCAGCUUGUUGGUGGGGUGANGGCCUACCAAGGCGACGACGGGUAGCCGGCCUGAGAGGGCGACCGGCCACACUGGGACUGAGACACGGCCCAGACUCCUACGGGAGGCAGCAGUGGGGAAUCUUGCGCAAUGGGCGAAAGCCUGACGCAGCGACGCCGCGUGAGGGAUGACGGCCU
rnacentral:rRNA from 1 species